rnacentral:rRNA from 1 species
GAUGAACGCUAACGGCAGGCCUAAUACAUGCAAGUCGGACGGGAUCGGGGAGCUUGCUCCCCGUGAGAGUGGCGCACGGGUGCGUAACACGUAUGUAACCUACCUUUAUCAGGGGGAUAGCCUCUCGAAAGAGAGAUUAACACCGCAUAACAUCACAUGAUAGCAUUAUCGAGUGAUCAAAUAUUCAUCGGAUAAAGAUGGGCAUGCGGGACAUUAGCUAGUUGGCGGGGUAACGGCCCACCAAGGCGACGAUGUCUAGGGGAUCUGAGAGGAUGACCCCCCACACUGGUACUGAGACACGGACCAGACUCCUACGGGAGGCAGCAGUAAGGAAUAUUGGUCAAUGGACGCAAGUCUGAACCAGCCAUGCCGCGUGCAGGAGGACGGCCCUACGGGUUGUAAACUGCUUUUGUACCGGAAUAAACCCUUUUACGUGUAAGAGGCUGAAUGUACGGUAAGAAUAAGGAUCGGCUAACUCCGUGCCAGCAGCCGCGGUAA